GACGAACGCUGGCGGCGUGCCUAAUACAUGCAAGUCGAGCGGACCACUUCGGUGGUCAGCGGCGGACGGGUGAGUAACACGUGGGCAACCUGCCUGUAAGACUGGGAUAACACCGGGAAACCGGUGCUAAUACCGGAUAAUCCUUUCCUUCACAUGAAGGGAAGCUGAAAGACGGUUUCGGCUGUCACUUACAGAUGGGCCCGCAGCGCAUUAGCUAGUUGGUGAGGUAACGGCUCACCAAGGCAACGAUGCGUAGCCGACCUGAGAGGGUGAUCGGCCACACUGGGACUGAGACACGGCCCAGACUCCUACGGGAGGCAGCAGUAGGGAAUCUUCCGCAAUGGACGAAAGUCUGACGGAGCAACGCCGCGUGAGCGAUGAAGGCCUUCGGGUCGUAAAGCUCUGUUGUCAGGGAAGAACAAGUACCGGAGUAACUGCCGGUACCUUGACGGUACCUGACCAGAAAGCCACGGCUAACUACGUGCCAGCAGCCGCGGUAAUACGUAGGUGGCAAGCGUUGUCCGGAAUUAUUGGGCGUAAAGCGCGCGCAGGCGGUCCUUUAAGUCUGAUGUGAAAGCCCACGGCUCAACCGUGGAGGGUCAUUGGAAACUGGGGGACUUGAGUGCAGAAGAGGAAAGUGGAAUUCCACGUGUAGCGGUGAAAUGCGUAGAGAUGUGGAGGAACACCAGUGGCGAAGGCGACUUUCUGGUCUGUAACUGACGCUGAGGCGCGAAAGCGUGGGGAGCAAACAGGAUUAGAUACCCUGGUAGUCCACGCCGUAAACGAUGAGUGCUAAGUGUUAGAGGGUUUCCG
rnacentral:rRNA from 1 species